GUCAUGGAGGUGGUGCCCACCUGUAGUCCCAGCUACUCAGGAGGCUGAGGCGGGAGACCACUUGAGCCCAGGAGGUCUGGGCUGCAGUGUGCUGUGCUGAUUGGGUGUCCACACUAAGUUCAGCAUCAGUAUGGUGAGCUCCCAGGAGUGGGGCACCACCAGGUUGCCUAAGGAGGGAUGAACUGGCCCAGGUCAGAAAUAGAGUAGGUCAAAACUCCUAUGCUGAUUGGUAAUGGGAUUACUACACCUGUGAAUGGCCAGUGCACUCCAACCUUGGCAACAUAGUGAGAUCCCAUCU
rnacentral:SRP_RNA from 10 species